AUUUGACAGAGAAAAAAUUUUGUACAAUAGUAAGUUUUUAGUUCUAGUGUACACAAAAUUAGCCAAAAUUAAAGCAUGAGGUUUCUAAGUUUGCGACUUAAGAGUUUCUAGCCUAUAAUAUAUAGAGUGCGAGUGAAGCGUAGCACGAGAAUAAGCAUAAAGAAAACAUUUGGUCUAUUGGAAGAGCAGUUACCACAGACUCAAAACAUUAUGUUAACAAUUUAUUAUUGUAAAUUCUAUUGAAGACAUCUCGAAUAGACCCACGUAUUCAAAUAAACACAUAUUCUCUCUAUUCUAACAAUUAUUGAAUACAUAUCAUAGUGUUUGGAUUGUGAACUCUCAAAAUCAAGCAAAAAAACUUUGUCCUAUUCUCGUCAGCAUGGAGAAAACUAAAAAUUGCAAAUCGAUUAAUUUUGUUCGUGAACUGAGACGAGAAAGCCGUGACACAUUUACACUCAUGCGACUAGAUUAUUUGGGAAAUUAUAUUCGUAUACCCAACGGACCACAGGAUCAGUUCAAUCUUAAAUAUAUAAUCUCACGUUACCUAUUAACCCAUAUUCGCUCAUUAUGUCGCUGGGUGUCACAAUUAACGCGUCCUUCUCUUGAAGUCCGCAACGACGAUUGAAGCAUAUAAUUUUUGGACUGGUACUCAAGUUUUGGAUUAAUAAGUUUUGGGCUGUUUGUAAAAAAUAAUAAAUUAAAUAUAAUGUGUAAAGUUAAAGAUUAAAGUGUUUGGUUUUUGUUUAAAUUUA